GGUGUUACUGCGAAGGGGGGACGGAGAAGGCUAUGUUGGCCGGGCGACGGUUGUCCCGGUUUAAGCGUGUAGGCUGGUUUUCCAGGCAAAUCCGGAAAAUCAAGGCUGAGGCGUGAUGACGAGGCACUACGGUGCUGAAGCAACAAAUGCCCUGCUUCCAGGAAAAGCCUCUAAGCAUCAGGUAACAUCAAAUCGUACCCCAAACCGACACAGGUGGUCAGGUAGAGAAUACCAAGGCGCUUGAGAGAACUCGGGUGAAGGAACUAGGCAAAAUGGUGCCGUAACUUCGGGAGAAGGCACGCUGACACGUAGGUGAAGUGAUUUACUCAUGGAGCUGAAGUCAGUCGAAGAUACCAGCUGGCUGCAACUGUUUAUUAAAAACACAGCACUGUGCAAACACGAAAGUGGACGUAUACGGUGUGACGCCUGCCCGGUGCCGGAAGGUUAAUUGAUGGGGUCAGCGCAAGCGAAGCUCCUGAUCGAAGCCCCGGUAAACGGCGGCCGUAACUAUAACGGUCCUAAGGUAGCGAAAUUCCUUGUCGGGUAAGUUCCGACCUGCACGAAUGGCGUAAUGAUGGCCAGGCUGUCUCCACCCGAGACUCAGUGAAAUUGAACUCGCUGUGAAGAUGCAGUGUACCCGCGGCAAGACGGAAAGACCCCGUGAACCUUUACUAUAGCUUGACACUGAACAUUGAGCCUUGAUGUGUAGGAUAGGUGGGAGGCUUUGAAGUGUGGACGCCAGUCUGCAUGGAGCCGACCUUGAAAUACCACCCUUUAAUGUUUGAUGUUCUAACGUGGACCCGUUACCCGGGUUGCGGACAGUGUCUGGUGGGUAGUUUGACUGGGGCGGUCUCCUCCUAAAGAGUAACGGAGGAGCACGAAGGUUGGCUAAUCCUGGUCGGACAUCAGGAGGUUAGUGCAAUGGCAUAAGCCAGCUUGACUGCGAGCGUGACGGCGCGAGCAGGUGCGAAAGCAGGUCAUAGUGAUCCGGUGGUUCUGAAUGGAAGGGCCAUCGCUCAACGGAUAAAAGGUACUCCGGGGAUAACAGGCUGAUACCGCCCAAGAGUUCAUAUCGACGGCGGUGUUUGGCACCUCGAUGUCGGCUCAUCACAUCCUGGGGCUGAAGUAGGUCCCAAGGGUAUGGCUGUUCGCCAUUUAAAGUGGUACGCGAGCUGGGUUUAGAACGUCGUGAGACAGUUCGGUCCCUAUCUGCCGUGGGCGCUGGAGAACUGAGGGGGGCUGCUCCUAGUACGAGAGGACCGGAGUGGACGCAUCACUGGUGUUCGGGUUGUCAUGCCAAUGGCACUGCCCGGUAGCUAAAUGCGGAAGAGAUAAGUGCUGAAAGCAUCUAAGCACGAAACUUGCCCCGAGAUGAGUUCUCCCUGAGACUUAAAGUCUCCUGAAGGAACGUUGAAGACGACGACGUUGAUAGGCCGGGUGUGUAAGCGCAGCGAU
rnacentral:rRNA from 1 species